GGUUGCUUGCAAGGGCGUAUGGUGGAUGCCUUGGCAGACAGUACCGAUGAAGGACGUUUGAGGCUGCGAUAUGCCUCGGGGAGCCGCCAGCAGGGCUUUGAUCCGAGGAUUUCCGAAUGGGGGAACCCGCCGGCCGUCAUGGGCCGGCACCGCGUUCGCGCGGGGGGUACGCAGGGAAGUGAAACAUCUCAGUACCUGCAGGAAAGGAUGUUCCGUGAGUAGUGGCGAGCGAAAGCGGAUCAGGCCAAACCGCGCGCGUGUGACAGGCGCCAGCCGUUGCGCGCGUGGUGUUGAGGGAGCGUGUGUCCGGGUCCUGGCGGGCCCGGCCGGAGUGAUAAAACGGCGUGUGAGGCGAACCGGAUUGAAUGCCGGGCCGCAGAGGGUGAUGGCCCCGUAGCCGAACGCGCGUCGUCUCCGGAUCGUGUUUCCCAAGUAGCGCGGGACUCGUGGAAUCCCGUGUGAAUCCGCCCCGACCGUGGGGUAAGCCUAGAUAUACCUGUCUGACCGAUAGCGAACUAGUACCGUGAGGGAAAGGUGAAAAGCACCCCGGGAGGGGAGUGAAACAGUCUCUGAAACCGUGCGCUUACAAACCGUCGGAGCCUUUCGGGGUGACGGCGUGCCUAUCGAAAAAUGAGUCUGCGAGUCAGUGGCACGUGGCGAGCGUAACCCGUGUGGGGUACGCGUAGCGAAGGCGAGUCUCAAAAGGCGUUUGAGUCGCGUGUCCUGGACCCGAAGCGGGAUGAUCUAGCCCUGAGCAGGUUGAAGCGCGGGUAAGACCGCGUGGAGGACCGAACCCACCUGGGUUGAAAACCGGGGGGAUGACCUGGGGCUAGGGGUGAAAGGCCAAUCAAAUUCCGUGAUAGCUGGUUCUCUCCGAAAUGCAUUUAGGUGCAGCGUCGGGGAUUACGUCCGGGGGGUAGAGCUACUGGAUGCUUGAGGGCCCGUAUCGGGUACCGACAGCAGCCAAACUCCGAAUACCCGUGACGCGUAUCCCGGCAGUGAGUCGGCGGGGGAUAAGCUCCGUCGUCGAAAGGGAGACAGCCCAGAUCGUCGUCUAAGGUCCCCAAGCGCGUGCUAAGUGGGAAAGGAUGUGGAGUCGCAUAGACAGCCAGGAGGUUGGCUCAGAAGCAGCCAUCCUUGAAAGAGUGCGUAACAGCUCACUGGUCUAGUGGUUCCGCGCCGACAAUGUAGCGGGGCUCAAGCACGCCACCGAAGACGCGGCAGCGUCCGUUUGGAUGCUGGGUAGGAGAGCGUCCCCAUCGGGGCGAAGCGGCGGCGCAAGCCUGCCGUGGACCGUUGGGGAGUGAGAAUGCAGACAUGAGUAGCGAGAGGCGGGUGCGAAUCCCGCCCGCUGGAUGACCAAGGGUUCCGGGGCCACGUUCGUCGUCCCCGGGUGAGUCGGGUCCUAAGGCGAGGCCGACAGGCGUAGUCGAAUGGAUGAACGGGCUGAUAUUCCCGUACCGGCAGCGAACCGAAACAACCGAGGCCUGGGGCGCUAACCUCCGGGUCCGUGCCGUCUCCCCUUUCGGGGGGUCGCGGCGCGGGCGCGUUGGGAUCCCCCCUCGUAGUAGGUCAGCGCAGGAGUGACGCAUCAGGGCAGCCGGCCGCGGAGGUGGUUUUCCGUGGUCAAGCGUUCGAGCCCGUCCCGCAGGCAAAUCCGCGGGGCGUCGGGGCGAGGCGUGAUGAUGGGGGCCUUACGGCCCGAAUCCGGUGAUCCGUGGUGCCGAGAAAAGCUUCGGCGUCAGGCGCGUUGCCGCCCGUACCCCAAACCGACACUGGUGGUCAGGUAGAGAAUACCAAAGCGAUCGAGCGAAUCCUGGUCAAGGAACUCGGCAAAUUGCUCCCGUGCCUUCGGCAUAAGGGAGACCCCCUGCGGUGAUGAGCGGCGGGGGGUGGCACAGGCCAGGGGGUAGCGACUGUUUACCAAAAACACAGGAGCGUGCGAAGGCGCAAGCCGCUGUAUACGCUCUGACGCCUGCCCGGUGCCGGAAGGUUAAGAGGAUCCGUCAGCUUUCUGCGAAGCGGUGAAUUCAAGCCCCGGUAAACGGCGGUGGUAACUAUAACCAUCCUAAGGUAGCGAAAUUCCUUGUCGGGUAAGUUCCGACCUGCACGAAUGGCGUA
rnacentral:rRNA from 1 species